rnacentral:lncRNA from 12 species
AUGUAUAAGAUUCGUAUGAAACGGUAAUAUCAGGCUACAUGUUGAGUGUCGUCUCUGUGCUGCUGGUUACUUUGUAAAGUCUCGGGGUCUGUGGUCAUGAGAUGCAAAUUCAACUUUAACAAAUCAAACUGAGGAUAUCGGAAUGGUCAUUCAAUAUAUUUAAAUUGGAUUUUGAUUUAUCAUGUGACAAACAACAAUUGUGAUGGAGGUGUGUUUUACAGCGAUCACAAAUCGAAAGUGUUUCAAAGACUUCCUGCUGCACACGACCGUCUGAACUACUGCAAGACCUGCCCACAACAGGGAACUAUAAUGAAUAUUCAUGGAUGCUCCACCAACUGAAUAUUACACAACACUGGGUUAUGUGAAUUCAGACAGGUCAUGAUGAGCUUCUGAUUGUUUUCACAAACCAGUCUGUUUAGCUGCAGGAUGUCAGAGGAGCGAGGAAAGGACUCUCCGUCUGAGAUGAGUCUCUCAGAGGAACAGAGGUAAGACUGAGUCUGUGUUUAGAUAAUUAUUUUAAACACUGUCUGUGAAGAAUAAAAUCCCAUCAACAAUGGAGUCUUUUUCUCGCUGCUGUCAUGUCAAAUGCUGUGCAAAACUUCAGUUUAGAACUUCCUAUUACAUAUUUUAGAUCGUUCUUGGCUAAAAACAACUUGAAACUGGUCUAAUAUUUAUUAUUUCUGAAUGGGAUGGAUUUCAAAUCCCCUCCUCUUUUAUUUAAUAAUGAAUAAGUGAUCAUAGUAUUCUUAGAACCAUUCUUCCUGUUCUGGCAUUUAUGUUACAAGCAUUGUCUGUA